rfam:Oryctolagus cuniculus chromosome 13, whole genome shotgun sequence.
ACAAAGGCUCUUUUCAGAGCCACCCAUCUGAUCGGGAAAGAGCCGU